AGAUCUUUGGUUUUGCCUUUGCUGACUGCUGAUCUGAUCGUCUUAAGUCUGGUGACCUGCUGCAGAAGCUCUCUCCCUCUAUCAUUGACAAGCCAUUCAGUCUGUCCUAUCACUCUACCCACUCUAUCUAUUUUGACAAGACGUUCUAUCUUGCUUCACUCUAUCCCACAAGCUCUAUCUAAGUUAUCAAAAAUC